CAUAAAUGAAACAGGAUUGUAUUGAACGCAAUAUCAGUGCAUUCCCAUCAUAAAUCACAGGCACUCCAGCACCUCCGCUGGCUCCGCGGAGGAAGUGAACAGUGAGCGCAGCACGCUGGAGUCAAGUUUGGUUGAACUCCGGGUUCAUUUACACGACAGCGGUUGCGUUUCUCCACUGAUGAGUCUUGCAGAUGUUUAUGGUCGUGCUAAGGGAAUGGAAAGGACACCUGGAUGAGCAGGACGACACAUAUCGCUGGAGAAAAAAAAAAGUCUCAUCCUACUUCCGGGUGUGCGGCUGUAGCGCAGGAUACUUGUGUGCUCCUGGAGAUCGAUCCUGUCUGUGUGUAGCGGCAUUCCAGGGACAUUCUGAUGGAUUCCUUCGGGCGUGUGGAGUUCCUGCAGGCUCUAGCAGAAGGCUGUGUGCUGCCCACGGCCCAGCAGGGUUUAGAGCAGGUGUGGCUGCUUCUGCUCGUUUGCCUGCUGUGUCGGAUCAUCUGUAGACUAGGUGUCUCAUGUCAUGUGAAACACCUGAGCUCGCUGGUGUGUGGCCUGUACGUGUUGUACAUGUUCUUUGAGCUGCACACGAUGUGGGUGAUUAUCCUGUGCCUCCUUUGCUACCUCAUCCUGCUUCUCAGCAUAAACUCCAGCAGCCGAGGAGUCUUCCUGUCUGUUGUCAUCCUCAUUUACAUGCUGAUGGGGGAGUUACAUAUGAUAGACGCAGAGACCUGGCAUAAGAUGAGAGGCUCUCAGAUGGUGGUGGCCAUGAAGGCCAUCUCUCUGGCUUUUGACCUUGAUCGAGGCGCUGUGUCCUCUUUUCCCUCCCCGCUGGAGUUCAUGGGAUACCUCUGCUUUGCGGGAACUGUUAUCUUUGGGCCAUGGAUCAGUUUUGCCUGCUACACAGAUGCAAUUAAUGGACGCAAAAUGAGCGUUGGCUGGUUUGGAAAGAUUGCUCUGAGCUUUCUGAGGAGUCAGAUGUGCCUGGUUAUUUCCAACUGUAUUGCUCCUUAUCUCUUUCCAUACUUCAUUCCCAUCUACGGUGACGGACUUCCUCGUAGGUGGCUUCACGCUUAUGAAAAUGCGGUGUCCUUCCACUUCAGCAAUUAUUUUGUCAGCUACUUGAGUGAAACAACCACUGUGAUGGCUGGAGCUGGAUUCUCUGAACACAAAGACCACAUCAAAUGGGAUAUUACAGUAGCUAAACCUAUGAAUGUGGAAUUGCCGAGGUCUAUGGUGGAAGUUGUUACCUCUUGGAAUCUGCCCAUGUCUAAGUGGCUUAACGCAUACGUCUUUAAAAGUGCACUCAAACUUGGCACUUUUCCUGCUAUCUUGGUGACCUACACUGCCAGUGCGCUGUUACAUGGUCUCAGCUUUCAUCUGGGGGCUGUGCUGUUGUCUUUGGGAUUCAUCACUUAUGUUGAACAUGUUCUGAGAAAGCGGUUGGCAGCUAUUUUCAGUGCUUGUAUACUGUCAAAGCGCUGCCCAAAAGACUGCCAUCACCAAAAUAAGAAGACGCUCUGGGUGUAUGGUGUUAACCUGUUCUUCAGUGCAUUGUCAAUAUUCCAUCUGACAUAUCUGGGAUCACUGUUUGACUCUGAAAUGGACAACAUGCAUGCUGAGGAAGGUUACAUGGCCAGUCACACCAUUCAAAAAUGGUCAGAGCUAAACUGGGCGAGCCAUUGGGUGAUGUUUGGCUGUUUCAUGUUUUAUUGGCUCAUUUAAGGAGAAAUCAAAGGACCAUUCACUGAACCUGAACAUGAAAGAUGGUGGAUUCUUACCAUAAACUGCAUUUUUCAACAGUCAGUGUUACAUCCAUACAUCUGUCCCUCUGCUGGAAAAGACUGCCAUGAAAAGUGCCUUUUGAUUCAAGAAUCAUAUUGUUACAAGAAUCAUAUUCUCACAAUGUGAUCAUACUUGUUCUUUUUUUAUUUUGAUUUAGAUUAGGUACAGUUUUGGAUUAAACGAAAAAACUAUCAGUAUGCAGAGUACAUUGUGUUAUUUGCAUCUCUCUUUUUUGUUCUCUCUGUACAGCUUGAUAUACAGUAGAAAGAUAGUCUCUUUCUUUGUGACCAUGUUAUUGUCACUUUUAUAAAACAUGUUUUGAACCUGUAAAUGUUUCAUAUUUUUGUCAAAAGCUGUUGAUUAGGUCUGACAAUAAUAUUUAUUAUUUUCUAAUAAAAUUUGCCACCAAGACUUUUUUUCAUGAAUUAUAGAUAAGCGCAUUACUCAAGGGAACAGAUCAUACUUUGUAAAUUUGUUCUUAGAUAUUAGAUAUAUGUUGAUUUUAGAUGGCCACUUUUAUCAAAAGACACUUAUUACUUACGGUGAUCAGCAAUGUGGUAAUACCAUAUUUUGAUAAAUGUACAGGUAUUGUGGAAAACCAUGGUUUUACUGGGUCUCAUGUAUAAAAGUACCAUGUAGGCCUACUAACAAGGUACAUGUAAGAAAAACAGUAUAAGCAUAGUGUCAUGACAGCAUCUAAAAUAACAUUUAACACGGUGGAAAUAUAGAGGAAAGUUAGUUGUACUUUACAGAGUAAUGUAAAUGAGUUACUCAAUUGUGACCUCUGACCCAGUGGCGUGUCCCCCACUGUUCACAUGGUACUGUUAUAAUAUCGCGAGAGUUCGCAUCGCUCCUCACUACGUAAUGUGCCGUGCUGCUUAUGGCGGCGCUGGUGACAGUGCUGAAAGCUGUUGGGUAUGAAGUGUAACCGAAUUGAUUUUUGUACCAUCUGAAACCUACUUCAAGUUCAGAUCAUCGAUCAGUCAGAAAAAAAACGCCAAGGAAAAA